UUUUAAAGAAUCGAUUGGUAAAUCGAUUAGCUUGUAUAGUUUCAAGAUUAAAGAAAACCAAGAUCGCGAUAAUCGAUUGGCAAAUCGAUUUAGCACCUUUUAUAACUUUACAAAAUCGAUUGGGAAAUCGAUUGCGUAGUUGGUUUUUCAGAAACUAUAUAAGAUGUCUUUCAAUCUUUAUUCUAAUAACUUUUUCAUAACAAUUCAUAACUUUCAUAAUUUCUCAUAAUGCUCUCAACUGUUCAUAACAACAAACUAACAACUUCAUAAUUGUGAUUACAGAUUACAAUACAGUUUGUUGACAAUCCAAGAGAAAUGAUAAUGUGCUCAUGAACAUUCCUUGAAUAUCCAGAUUCGUGAGGAGCAACAUUCAUAAAGAUUGAAGACCCUUUUGUUUUACAUCUUUUAUUCUUUCUGUAAUAAAUCUUUGAACGAAAUAGAACGCA
rnacentral:lncRNA from 1 species